rnacentral:rRNA from 1 species
GACGAACGCUGGCGGCGUGCUUAACACAUGCAAGUCGAACGCUGAAGCUUGGUGCUUGCACUGGGUGGAUGAGUGGCGAACGGGUGAGUAAUACGUGAGUAACCUGCCCUUGACUCUGGGAUAAUCCUGGGAAACUGGGUCUAAUACUGGAUACGACAUGUCACCGCAUGGUGGUGUGUGGAAAGGGUUUUACUGGGUUUGGAUGGGCUCACGGCCUAUCAGCUUGUUGGUGGGGUAAUGGCUCACCAAGGCGACGACGGGUAGCCGGCCUGAGAGGGUGACCGGCCACACUGGGACUGAGACACGGCCCAGACUCCUACGGGAGGCAGCAGUGGGGAAUAUUGCACAAUGGGCGGAAGCCUGAUGCAGCGACGCCGCGUGCGGGAUGACGGCCUUCGGGUUGUAAACCGCUUUCAGCACGGAAGAAGCGAAAGUGACGGUACUUGCAGAAGAAGCGCCGGCUAACUACGUG